rnacentral:rRNA from 1 species
CAUACUGCCGUGAAUACGUUCCCGGGCCUUGUACACACCGCCCGUCACACCAUGAGAGUUGGAGAUACCCGAAGCCUAUGAGCUAACUUUUAGAGGCAGUAGUCGAAGGUAGAAUCAAUGAUUGGGGUGAAGUCGUAACAAGGUAUC